AACUCCAUAAGCUUUAAAACCUAUUUAAUGUAUAAAAGGAGAUGAUGAGAUUUAUAAAUUAUAAAGCCAUAAAAGGAAAAAACAUGGCUCAAUUUUCCAAGCUUUUUUAUGUUAUAAUUAUAUUUCUCUCCCUAUUUCUUGUUGCAAUGAGUGCUGAUCACCAGUUUGAAUGUACUACUGAUCAUGAUUGUAGAGAAGUCGAAUGUUUCUUGGAUACUUUGGUAGCAAAGUGUUUUGUUAGUUUUGUUUUAGGUCGUUUCCUCUCAAAAGGCAUAUGUUCAUGUGUUUAAGUGAUGUGCCCAAUUGAUUCUAUUAUAAUAGUAUGUCAUAAGCUAUCAUUUAUUUAUUGUAUUGGUGUUGAAGUUGAUUGUUCUUAUUGGAAUAUGAAUAUCUUUUAACAUUAAUUAUCAACAAA